rnacentral:siRNA from 1 species
UUGCGGUUCAAUAAAGCUGUG